CUCAAUCUUUGCUGAAGGAUGGCGUGAGAGCACAGGAGGAGGCACUUAUCCAUAGCAGGUGGCUCUCCUCAGUCAGUACAGUGCAGCAGCCUUUGCAUGGAUGAUUGUCUGUCCUCUGUUGGGCCCCUUCUGAAGAGUUGGAGUUGGUUGCAAACUAUAGAAACCAUUUGGGCUGGUUUGAGCAUAAAAGGAAAUUACUGGGAGUUAUUAGGUGCUCGGUGAUUCAUUGGGAGGUCUGGCAAAAAAGAAGCUCAAGGCUAAGCUCAUAGGAACACAGCCCGGCAUCUCACACAGAAGUGGCUUGAUGAGGAUUCUACUGCCUCCACAGCUCCUGCCAUCAUCUUCAUCUGCACCAUAGAUGCUCAGAACCCAGUCUGUGUCUGCAUGUUGCUGACUUCCAAAUGAGAGCUUCAUGAGAGUGUAUUUGGUUGGUAGAACAUAGGUCCCAGACCUUCUCCCUGGGAGCUGGAAGAGAUGCUGGGAAAUUCUGCCCUGGAAAAAUAAAACUCACAAUGUGGGAAACAAAGAAAAUGUACAGCAGGGGUUUAACAGAAUGACAGGUAUCUGCUAAAGAAAAUAUUGAUUUUUUUUAAAAAAAAAAAAGACAAUUUUCCCUUUAGAGCCCCAGAAAGAUUCAGGCCUUAGAGGCACUAAGUACUAUAGAAAAUGAGGCUGAAGCAUGGGGCUGAAACUUGGUUUGGUUGAAGGUCUCUGGAAGGCAGAGCAGUUUAACCUCUAGGUUCCCUCAUCCACCCCCAUACAGCCAGACAAUUAUCCCUCCACCCUUCUGUUCUCCUCCCCUCUUCCCUUAGAAAACUUGAAGUUUAUUCUCUAGAGAAGUUCCAGGCUCAGUGACACCAGGCCAAGGUGCUGGACUGAAAACAAUUAGAUUAAGUUAAAAUCUGCUUGAUAAGUGUACAAGUAAUCUAUUUUCAAAACCUAAGAGAUGUUGUCAGCUAUCUCUAACUAUAUGCCAGCAGUAGGCCUUCUAGGAAACUGUACUAUGAUUCCAGGAAACUCGAUUGUGGGCUGGGGAAGGACAAUAAAGUGGAUUGUAUGAUCAUCUGCUUCUGUUACUGGAAAGGGAUCCUGAUCCAGACCCCAAGAGAGGGUUCUUGGAUCUUGUGCAAGAAAGAAUUCAGGAGUCCAUAAAGUGAAAGCAAGUUUAUCAGAGAAGUAAAGAAACAAAAGGAUGGCUACCCCAUAGACAGAGAGCCCUGAGGGCUGCUGGUUGGACAUUUUUAUGGUUAUUUCUUGAUCAUAUGCUAAACAAGGGGUAGAUUAUUCAUAAGUUUUCUGGGAAAGGGGAGGUUCCCAAAACUGAGGGUUCCUCCCCUUUUUAGACCAUAUAAGGUAACUUGGGUGUUGCCAUGGCAUUUGUAAACUGUCAUGGCACUGCUGAGAGUGUCUAUUAGCCUGCUAAUGCAUUAUAAUUAACGUACAAUGAGCAGUGAGGAUGACCAGAGGUCACUUUCAUCACCAUCUUGGUUUUGGCCGGCUUCUUUAUGGCAUCCUGUUUUAUCACCAGGGUCUUUAUGACCCGUAUCUUGUGAUAUCAAUCCUGCCGACCUCCUAUCUCAUCCUGUGGCUAAGAAUGUCUAACCUCCUGGGAAUGCUGCCCAGCAGGUCUCAUUCUCAUUUUACCGAGCCCCUACUCAAGAUGGAGUCGCUCUGGUUUGAACGCCUCUGACACUUCCACUCUCAAGGAAUGGUGUUUUUAUUCUCUUCUCCCCAGAAUGUACUUCUGGUCUGUCCCGCUGUUCCAUUCCACAGCAUUUUAGGAGGUUCUCAAGAGUGUCCUAAACAAGCAGAGAAGAAUGGUGAGACUUACCCAUUCCUAGUUUAAGAAAUGAGUGAAAUGGGGUCUGAGUUAUAUCACAGGUGAGCUAGACAUCCUCGAAAUAAAGAGCCAGAGUAUCAGGCAAACCUUCUAAUAGCUAAAAUGAGCGUACUUCUAUUCCUAGCUACAGUUUAGACUCCUGUGGUACAGUUGGCUUUCCCAGGCUCCCGGCGUCCAUGCUGUCUCGGCGCUAUCUCGCAGCCUGACGCCACGCGCCAUCUGCUGGCCUUGAGCUGCAUAGCUCUAGAGUAACUUCAGAGGCCACGGGGGAACAAAGAGCACUCGCCUACUUGACUGAGCUCCGACAGGCCGUCCCUCUGCUUCAGGUGUAGGCGUGAACAAGUCCAGACCACUACCUUAACAGGUCACUGAUGGGAACUUUGACCAGCAUCCUUGUUCCUCCCUCAACUUAUGGUCACCCUAAAAAAGCUAAGGCAUAGAUUUCAAAUUCUGGAGCCAGUUUUUGUAUUUAGGUCUCCAAGUACAGAGAGAAACUGGCAGACAGGGGUGGAGAAGUAUUGAGAACGAAUUCGGACACCCUGAAAGCGGAGUUCUAGAUCCAGUGUUGCCAGCAACGAGCCAAGAGACCUUUCUUCACAAGUUGAUUUACCUUUCCAUGUUUCAGUUUUCUCAUAAUUCCUGCCCUUAUUCCCUUCUCACCACCCCUGAUCCCCUCCCCUUUCCUGAUUGGGUAACAGGACAGGAAGCAGCAGAGCAUUCUAUGAAGCUUCCUCCUCAACGUCCUAGAGUAGCGGGUCUCAGUCUUCACUACACAGUCAAGUCCCAUGGUGCAUUUUUCAAACUUGCAUACCUGGCCCUUCCUGUGCUGAAUUCUGGUCUGCCCAUAAUUUGCUCCCUCCUUUCUCACUGUUUUCCUUUCUCCCUUCCUUGUUUUCUUUCCUAUCCCUUGCUGUCUCUGUUAGAACUUCUUUUUCCUGGUAUCUAGCCAAUCUCUUAACCCUGUUUUACUUUACUGUCCUAAGAUGCUGUCUUCUCAUGCCUACAUGUACUUUCUUUAAAAAAAAAACUGUUUAAAAAACAUUGUGUGGGAGGAGCCAAGAUGGCCAAAUAGGAACAGCUCCAGCCUACAGCUCCCAGCGUGAGCGAUGCAGAAGAUGGGUGAUUUCUGCAUUUCCAUCUGAGGUACCAGGUUCAUCUCACUAGGGAGUGCCAGACAGUGGGCACAGGUCAGUGGGUGCACGCACCAUGCGCGAGCCGAAGCAGGGCGAGGCUUUGCCUCUCUCAGGAAGCCCAAGGGGUCAGGGAGUUCCCUUUCCUAGUCAAAGAAAGUGGUGACAGACGGCACCUGGAAAAUCGGGUCACUCCCGAAUACUGCGCUUUUCCAACGGGCUUAAAAACUGGCGCACCGGGCCGGGCGCGGUGGCUCACGCCUGUAAUCCCAGCACUUUGGGAGGCCGAGGCGGGCGGAUCACGAGGUCAGGAGAUCGAGACCAUCCCG
rnacentral:lncRNA from 10 species